UCUGUAUCUCAUGAAUAAAUAAAAAAAAAUCUUUUUAAAAAUCUUUAAAUAAAAAUCUUUUAAAAAAUAAAAUAAAAGCUCACUAGGGCUUCUGGGUAAAGAAGGGACUGGAGAGGGACAAAAAGUGGAAGUGGGGAGUCAGUUAAGAGGGUACUGCAAUAGUCCAAGCAGGAGAAGACAGGACGUGCAGAUGGAGAGAAAUAUUGGAGGGACACAUAGGAAUUGCUGGUGGACUAGAUAUGGAGGAACAAAAGAGUACAAUGAAGGCUGCCUCCUAAUUGUUUCACUUAGAACCCAGGUGAAUGGAUAAAAGAGACAUUUUGUGGGUUGGGAAAGACUAAGGGAGGAGCAGGUUUGGAAGGGGAAAGCUCACAUGCUGUGCUUUGAAUGAGUCAUCCAAGCAGAGAUGGCAGGUAUGCCGAUAGCCAGGGCUGGGCUUUGUACAAAGGCAUAGGGAAGCAUCUAUUAACUAUCCCCAGGUCAGCUUCGUACUGUGAAAGAUUACAGUAAUUUUUAGUUUAGCUAGAAAUGGAUGUUGCCUUUUCUUUCUGAAAGGAAUUCUCAUUAAGAAAUUUGAAAUAUGGGGGAUCCCUGGGUGGCGCAGCGGUUUAGCGCCUGCCUUUGGCGCAAGGCGCGAUCCUGGAGACCCUGGAUCGAAUCCCACGUCGGGCUCCCGGUGCAUGGAGCCUGCUUCUCCCUCUGCCUAUGUCUCUGCCUCUCUCUCUCUCUCUCUCUCUCUCUCUCUGUGUGUGUGUGACUAUCAUAAAAAAAAAAAAAAGAAAAGAAAAAAAAAGAAAUUUGAAAUAUGGGGCAGCCCGGGUGGCUCAGCGGUUUAGCACCGCCUUCAGUCCAGGGCGUGAUUCUAGAGACCUGGGAUCCAGUCCCAUGUCAGGCUCCCUGCAUGGAGCCUGCUUCUCCCUCUGCCUGUGUCUCUGCCUCUCUCUCUGUGUCUCUCAUGAAUAAAUAAAUAAAAUCUUAAAAAAAAAAAAGAAAUUUGAAAUAUGGUCAUCAGUGUAAGAUGAUGUUUUGCACAAUAACAAUCACAUCAGUAAAACAAGUGACAGAAACCCAAGUCUGACUGGCUAAUGCAAAAGAGCACUUUUGGGGGCACCCAUUGGCUCAGCUAGUUAAGUGUGAGACUCUUGGUUUCCACAGGUCAUGGUCCCGGGGUCACGGGAUGGAGCCCCACAUUCAGCUUCUCUGCACUCAGCAUGAAGUCUGCUUGGGAUUUCCUCCCUCCCUCUCCUGCUGCCCCUCCUCCUGCUCACUCCUGCUCAUGAUCUCUCUUUCUCUCAAAUAAACAAAUAUGACUCUAAAAAAAAAAAAAAAAAAAC
rnacentral:lncRNA from 1 species